ensembl:snRNA U6 U6 spliceosomal RNA
GUGUUCACUUCGGCAGCACAUACACUAAAAUUGGAACAAUACAGAGAUUAGCGUGGCCCCUGCACAAGGAUGACAUGCAAAUUUGUGAAGCAUUCCAUAUUUUU